GUGCCAGCAGCCGCGGUAAUACGGAGGGGGCUAGCGUUGUUCGGAAUUACUGGGCGUAAAGCGCACGUAGGCGGAUCAGAAAGUUGGGGGUGAAAUCCCGGGGCUCAACCUCGGAACUGCCUUCAAAACUAUUGGUCUUGAGUUCGAGAGAGGUGAGUGGAAUUCCGAGUGUAGAGGUGAAAUUCGUAGAUAUUCGGAGGAACACCAGUGGCGAAGGCGGCUCACUGGCUCGAUACUGACGCUGAGGUGCGAAAGCGUGGGGAGCAAACAGGAUU
rnacentral:rRNA from 1 species